AGUGAACGCUGGCGGUAGGCCUAACACAUGCAAGUCGAACGGCAGCACAGGAGAGCUUGCUCUCUGGGUGGCGAGUGGCGGACGGGUGAGGAAUACAUCGGAAUCUGCCCAGUCGUGGGGGAUAACGUAGGGAAACUUACGCUAAUACCGCAUACGACCUUCGGGUGAAAGAGGGGGAUCGCAAGACCUCUCGCGAUUGGAUGAGCCGAUGUCGGAUUAGCUAGUUGGCGGGGUAAUGGCCCACCAAGGCGACGAUCCGUAGCUGGUCUGAGAGGAUGAUCAGCCACACUGGAACUGAGACACGGUCCAGACUCCUACGGGAGGCAGCAGUGGGGAAUAUUGGACAAUGGGCGCAAGCCUGAUCCAGCCAUACCGCGUGGGUGAAGAAGGCCUUCGGGUUGUAAAGCCCUUUUGUUGGGAAAGAAAUCUUUCAGGCUAAUACCCUGGGAGGAUGACGGUACCCAAAGAAUAAGCACCGGCUAACUCCGUG
rnacentral:rRNA from 1 species